UACGUAGGGGGCAAGCGUUGUCCGGAAUCAUUGGGCGUAAAGAGCGUGUAGGCGGUCCGGUAAGUCGGCUGUGAAAGUCCAGGGCUCAACCCUGGGAUGCCGGUCGAUACUGCCGGACUAGAGUUCGGAAGAGGCGAGUGGAAUUCCCGGUGUAGCGGUGAAAUGCGCAGAUAUCGGGAGGAACACCUAUGGCGAAGGCAGCUCGCUGGGACGUUACUGACGCUGGAGACGCGAAAAGCGUGGGGAGCAAACAGG
rnacentral:rRNA from 1 species